CUCUUUCUCUUUGAGUUUGAUGAACAAGGAAGGGAAUUACAGAAGGCCUUUGAAGAUACGCUGCAGUUGAUGGAAAGGUCACUUCCAGAAAUUUGGACUCUUACUUACCAGCAGAAUUCAGCUACCCCGGUUCUAGGUCCCAAUUCUACUGCAAAUAGUAUCAUGGCAUCUUAUCAGCAACAGAAGACUUCGGUUCCUGUUCUUGACAGAGUCUUGCUCUGUGGCCCAGGCGGGAGUGCAGUGGCGCAAUCUCGGCUCACUGCAAGCUCCGCCUCCCGGGUUCACGCCAUUCUCCUGCCUCACCCUCCUGAGUAGCUGGGACUACAGGCGCCCGCCAUCACGCCCGGCUAAUUUUUUUGUAUUUUUAGUAGAGACGGGGUUUCACCGUGUUAGCCAGGAUGGUCUCGAUCUCCUGACCUCGUGAUCCACCCGCCUCGGCCUCCCAAAGUGCUGGGAUUACAAGCGUGAGCCACCGCGCCCGGCCUGUAACUAGUUUUUUUAAGAUAAAGUCUUAUUCCAACUUUAAUUGGAAUUUAUGAAAUACCUUGUUGAUAGUGAAUUUAUUUAAGUAGCCUUUUUUCAGUAUUGAUAUUCUUAUAUCUUUAUGGCACCAUUUAGUGGAGAGAAAUGUAAACAAACAUAAAGAUGUAGUAUUAAAUCAUAACUGCAUAAAAUUAACUGUAGUAUGUACUGCACUACUGUAAUAAUUUUGUAGCUACCUCCUGUUGCUAUUGUGGUGAGUGAGCUCAAGUGUUACCAAUAUCUGCUUAAAAUGCCAUGUGCCGCUAACCAUCUCCACAUGAGCAGCACAUGAGAGUCUCCAUUAAUUGCAUAUGGCAGCGAAAAGUGAUCUCUUGCAUUGUCGUGUAUUUUUUAUCACGUUUAAUGUAAUAUCGUAAACCUUAAAUAACACCAUGAGACCUAUAGGAAGUACCACAAGUGUUGCUCCCAGGAAGCAGAGAAAAGUCAUAACAUUACAAGAAAAAGUUGACUUGCUCGAUAUGUACUAUAGAUUGAGGUCUGCAGCUGUAGUUGCCCACCACUUCAAGAUAAAUGAACCCAGUGCAAGGACUAUUAU
rnacentral:lncRNA from 1 species